AACGCACAUUGCGCCCCUUGGUAUUCCGAGGGGCAUGCCUGUUCGAGCGUCAUUAUAACCCCUCAAGCCUAGCUUGGUGUUGGGGUCCGCGGUCCCGCGACCCUUAAAAUCAGUGGCGGUGCCAUCUGGCUCUUAGCGUAGUAACUAUCCUCGCUAUAGGGCCCGGCGGUUGUCUACCAGAACCCCCCAUUCCUAUGGUUGACCUCGGAUCAGGUAGGGAUACCCGCUGAACUUAA
rnacentral:misc_RNA from 1 species